rnacentral:rRNA from 1 species
UACGUAGGGAGCGAGCGUUGUCCGGAUUUACUGGGUGUAAAGGGUGCGUAGGCGGGAACACAAGUCAGGCGUGAAAUACCGGGGCUCAACUCCGGGGCUGCGCUUGAAACUGUGUUUCUUGAGUGAAGUAGAGGCAGGCGGAAUUCCUAGUGUAGCGGUGGAAUGCGUAGAUAUUAGGAGGAACACCAGUGGCGAAGGCGGCCUGCUGGGCUUUAACUGACGCUGAUGCACGAAAGCAUGGGGAGCAAACAGG